GUCCGCACCGGGGCGCCCUGCGCACACCCUUACCGCCCGGCGGCGUCCGCCGACCCCGGAGUCCUGGCCCGGGGCGCGGGAGUCCGGAGGGCAGGACCGGGACGCUCGCGCUGGCCUCCCGUGCGGUGGCGUGCGUGAGCGUCCCUUCCACUUCGGCAGCCCGCACCGCCUCCGUAGCCUCCCAGGUCUGGCCUCCUGCCCCCCUCCGAGCCCCACCGCGCGCCGACCCGGAUCCCGGGCGCCUCACGGCGCGGCUGCCAGCUGGGCCUGGCGCCGAGGCUCGGGCCCCCAAGUUGUGGGAGGACGCCGGGCCUGGUACGUAGGACCCUGGGGAGCUCGCUGCCUGGGCUGUGCUGGGAAAACGCCACCCCCAAAAGAGUUCUGUUUUCUUUGGUUGUAAUAAGUUGACACUUCCCUCGGACUCGGGGGAAGACUGUUACCAGAGGAGCCUCCUUCGGCACGAGCCUCGUCGCUGCCGCCUCGGGAAGGGAGGAGAGCGCAGCCGACCGGUGGCCUGACGCGGUCGCAUCACAGGUGUCUCAGUGGCCGCGCGCUUGGAGCAGGUCACAGACGUGCGCGCGGCGGCGAUCCGGGCUUCCCUGCGAGGCCGAGGCCCAGGCCGGCGGCCCGGUGCGUGGCGGGCGGCGAGGGGGCGCUGUGGCCCGCGACUGCGGCCUGCUGGGCUCCGCGCAGGGCAGGGCUCGCGUGGGAGAAGGAAGACACCGCGAGCGCUUCGGACCCGGCCGCUCCCACCGCUUCUGUUACUCUGGCCUUCCUUGGAGUACCCCGGGAGAACGCAGCUCUGCGUGCAGCAGCCCUCGUGCAUUCCUGCUUCCGGACGCCAGAGCGCACCUCAGUGCAGGCCAGUGCAGCGCCCUGCUGCGGCACCGCGGGCCAUCCCCGGAGCAGGUAGGCAGACUCCGCCGCCGCCCGCCGGGAAGACGCGGGAAGCUCCGUCUGAUCGAGCAGUCAGGCCCUGAGGAGUGUUUGUCUGGGGCCGCGUUGCCCUUGGCCGCCCCUUAACUAGGUGUGCGCACCCAAAGCAGUUCGCCCUCCCCGUGGGCUGGGGUCGUGGUCCACACGAAUUCACCCUGCGCCCAAACUCCCCGAAGGACUUACACGCGUGAGACUGGGUCGGCAGGGCAGAGGAGGGUUGUUGUUUGUUUUUUUUUUUGAACGUGGCAUGGAGUGCAGAAAUAUUUUUUAAAGGAUAUUCGUUACAAGUCAAACCCUCAGCAGGGCAGACCGCAGCUGCGACUGACAGGAGAGUUCUGCAGAGGACGGGUAAGGACACUGUGCAGAAUCCGUUCAGUGUCAGCAGAGACCCUGGGCCUGGAGCAGGGUUCACUUGUGCUGGGGAGACCCCUGGCAGGAAAAGAACCUCAUGCCGCCUGCACCAACCAACAGGGCCUAGGGGUGCUGAGCCUGCACCCCUGGCUGUGACAGUUCUGGUUGCUGUGGGGAAAUUAGGGAAGCAUCCCCUCCUCACCUGCUGCCCUCUGCAGCGAAGAGGCCACUGGGGAGGGGAGCCGGGUGCUGCUCCAGGGCAGCGUGGAGGCACCGUGCGCAGUGUGGGCAGGAGAGCGCCUUGUCCCGCCACCCCGUGGGUCUGUGGCCUGGAGCGGCCCCCAGAGCCCACAUCCACCCACGGAAGAGGUCCCAAGGGCGGAAGAUGGGGGAGGAGAACACAGAGAAGACGGCCCCAGGUGAGAUUUAAAAGGCAGUCUCAGCUCUGUUGCUCUGUUCCCGAGGUUGUUUGUGAAGUUCGGCCUCAUGUUAGCCUCUCUUGGCCUGGGAGGCCAGGUGCAUGGGACUGCAGCACUGUUCUUUCCUGUGAUAUUGUAGAGAUUAAAGUUAAGUACUGUCAGCCAGCUGUGUGGUGCCCCUGUGUAAUCCCAGCGCUCAGGAGGCUGAGGCAGGAGGAGUGCCGUGAGUUCAAUGCCAGGCUGAAGUAUGUAGUGAGACCCUGUCUCGAAAAAAAUAAUCAAGUACUAGCUUUUAAAAGAAGCAUUAUAAAUGCAGGAGUAUAAUAUGCUAGUUUGGGAAAACUUGGUUGAAGAUAUCACUUUCUUAAACAUUUGCGUUUGAUUUUUUUCUGCUCUCUCCAUUCCUCCGCCAUUGCAACCUCAGGCCCUGGCGGCUAAGGCCCUGGGGAUGCAGGGCUGGGAGUUGCACGCUUUCAUGCUGCCACGCUGCACGUGCUUCUCCAUGUCACUGUGAACGCACUUUGGGUGAGCAUAUUGUAGAAGUCAGCCAUGGAUUAAAGCCAGGACUGCAGAAAGGCAGGAGGACAGGGAAGGGCCAGGGAGGCAGGGAGAAGACCUGGUCAGGCGGCUCUGCUGGGCCCUGGCCCGGGCCCUUCCCCCCUCUGCGUCUCUGCUCCGGCAGACCGGGUGCAGUGUUCUGGGCCCCUCCACCCGCGCUGCCUUCCCUGCAGCCCCAGAACGGGAUCUCCACACACACUGCCCGCUCACCACCCCUGCACAGUGGACGAGGUCUUGGCCUGGCUCACUUGGGAAUCGCCAGACCUCCCCGUGUUCACUCCACUCCGACCUGUUCACUGGAGGCCGGGACGGGAGCAGAGGGCUGGCGCCUGCUGCACCCCGCUCCCUGCGCUGGGCACCCUGACCUCUCACCUCCUGCACACAGCAGGCCACCUCCCAGGCCAGCGCCCCCUCCUUGGAGGCUUCAACCUCAAGACUCUUGUGCUGCUGCCUCCUGGCUGCUGAGGCAGCCACUUCCAGGGACGCUGGCUCUCCCUUCCUGCCCCCACCCUGCCCGGCACGCUUGGCACUGUGGGCAUAGGACAGGCACCGAGCAGAUGCAUGGACGCAUGUGUGACUGGCCCUUGGCAACUCACCUUUCUGCCAAAAGCGAUAGCAGGGCUUGUGGGUGAGAAACAACGAUGACGUGGACGCCUGCGUACAGUCCCCACUGCCUGCUGCUCCGGCGGCCUCCCCACACCUGGUCAUUGCUACGUUUCCAUCUGAUGUUUUCCGGAUGACCCCCACAGCCUCAGGACAUCUUCAGUGGGGCUGCAGGGAGGCGACUGCAUUGUGGGGGCUGAUGGCUGGCUUGCUGUUGGGAGGGGCCGUUGGAGGACACAGGUCACUGGGGGCGUGGCCCAGAAGGGUCUGCCUUCCUCCCUCAUCUCCCUGCUUCAUCUACACCCUGCCACGAGCAGCUCUCCUCUGCCAGGCCCCUCUGGCCUGCACCCUGCCUCGGAGCCAGCUGACUAUGGACUGAAGCCUCCACAGACUGGGAACCGACAUAAACCUCUCCUUAUAGUUGAGGCUGUCCAGUGUCGUGUUCUAGCAACAAAACAGGUGACUAAGACAGUCACGGCCACUGCAAGGAAGCCGGUCCAAGCACAUCACUCCUUGGCAGCCCCAAGUUUUAAGACCAACAGAUACAGACAUUUAAAAUCACAUUUAAUUCUAAAAUUCCCCGCUUGGCAAUCCAAUCUUGGAGGACAGGAAUUGCCCCCUGACCUUCCUGCCCCCAGCACAUGGCUGUGAACUGAGUGAAUGAUGAAGUGCAUGUUGACAUUUGGGAAGAGGAAACUUAAGAGCAAACCGGACUUGGAGGAUAUUUUCAAUACAAAUUCAGAGCGGGCCUGUGUUAGAAACCAAUGUAAAAAGUCAUGUAGGCCCCAGCAAGGUUUUCAUAGACUGCGUGAGCUUAUGCUUAAGUAAGCAUGCAAAAGCUAAGGCUUCAGAAGAGCUCAAAGAGCUUUUAAGCAGCAGAAGAGAGUGGGAGGACUCAGCCUACCUGACCCUGAGAUGAGUGGAUGUCAACAUGAGGAUCGGUUUGUGGUGGAGGGGUGGACACAGGCCAGCAGAGCAGAGCGGACAACCCAGAGGGGCCUGUGCUCACGGGGCCCCAUUAGUUAUUUCCUAGCUCUGGGUUUGAGCCCAGGGCGUCACACCUGCGAGGUCCGGCCUCCAUCACUGAGCCCGCCCCCAGCCCCAUUUGCUUUUUGCGGGGGAGGGAUUCAGCCUUUUUAGCAACUGGAGCUGGAGCAAAGGGGCAACACUAAGACAGCAAGUUUUACAAAAGAGUUUCUUCACACAGCCAGGCGUGGAGGAGGAGAGCCAGGCUCAGCCUCCUCCCAGAGGGCAGGGCUUAGGGACAUUCAUGGAAGGAGUAGGAUGGCCUAAGGCGUGGGGAGGCCAGGGGCACAGGGGAGGUUGGCGGUGGGCUGCACGGCUCCUCAGAGGACACACGUCUGGAUAACACGGCACUGACAGAGCAGAGGGUGCAGCUCUUGACCCCUGGGUGUUGAAGAAGUCAUCUGUGACCCUGCACAGCCCCAUGCUCAGAGCUGGGGCCCUGCCAAGGUAGCCGGGCAGCCCAGAUGCCCAUUGCCUACCCUCCAGCUGGUCACCUGCAGAGGAGGUGGCUGGUCAGUGACACCAUGCGCAUCUUCCUGACCUCCAAAAUGCAAGACUUUCAAAGUCACCUAAAAGCAAGUAACAAUGCAAGUGUCCCUCAGUUUCAGACCUGCAGUUCCCUGCUUGACCGCCGGACCCUGCUCCUGAAGAGAGGAGUCGCUGGGUGCGGCCUCUCAAUGUCAGGCGUCUUUGCAGAGAGCCGCCCUCCCGGAGAGGUGCUCACGGGGGCCUGGACCUGGCCUGCGUCCUGCCGGUGAGCGGCACUGUGUGCAGGUGGACUGCGCUUCAUCACCCUUUGGCUGCUUUAGACUUGUGAGCUGUUCCCAGUGCUCGGGCUGUUUUGGAAAACAGACGAACACUGCUUUGACUUCUUAGUGCAGCCCUCUAUGACAACUUUUCAUUCAUCCUGGGUGAAACCCUAGGAGUGGAGCAGGUCAUCAGAGUCUGGCCUAUUUUGCCGACCACGACAAUCUUCAGUUCUACCCAUUGCUGGCAGCUGACAUGAUUUCCUGUUCGUUAUGGCUGAGGGCUUCUCGGCUCCAGUCUUACCCACUUUUCUCUGUCAGUUCACCUUUGGACAGACACCUACCUGAUUCCCCAACCUGGGCGUUCGGUUUUGAAAAGCUGCCAGGUUGUUGCCUGAGCCGGGCCGAUGUGGCAGAGCUCCAUCGCUGCUCUCUGGCCUGCACCUGGCGUGGUUGGCUUUUCAGCUGGGGCCGUCCUGGGUCCUGGUGGGCACUUCCUUAGGUCCCGAAUCUCUGGCCUCCCCUCGUCAUGGGGUCAGCCAGACGGACUGUGUGUCUGUUUCCCUGUCCCUGAAUGCUGUGGCAUUUGAAGGCUGACGGCUCAGCUGUCCUUCCAGGGCCAGGACCUGGUGGAGGUGGCAGGCUCAGCUGGCAGCACAACAUUCACGUGCAGUCCAGGCGACACCAGGUUUGUACAAAAUUCUACAUCAACGAUUAUGUUGUGUGUGCAUGAAGAAAUUCCCUCUUCCCUUUCUCAUCUGUCCACUGCCCUCACUGGGAUGCCAGCAUCCUGGGGGAAGGUGAGGGUCCCUUGUCCCUGCCCAGCUGGUGCCUGCUCUGGCCCUGAGAGGCAUCCUGAGCAGGUGAGAACAUUCCCUUCACUUGAUCACCAAGUGCUGUUACCAUGAACGGAGCUUCACUUUUCUGGGCAAUUACUUUUCUCCAUCUACUGAGAUAUAUUUUUCUAUGUAAAUCUACUUCCUUAAUGUAUGACAUUAAUUGAUUUUCAAAUGUUAAAUUAACCUUGCAUUCCUGGAAUUAACUCCAGUUGGCUGUGGUUAAAUUGCCAUUUUACAGGCCAGUGUCUCUUACAGACACAGAAAUAAAAAUUCUCCGACAUAGGAGCGAAUUGAGUUCAGUAAUGUAUUAAAGGAUAACAUAUGAUGUGUAAAUGGAUUUAUUGUAGGAAUUUUGAAAAGUCAGUCAAUGUAAUUUUCCUAUUAGCUGAAUAAAGGAGAAAAAUC
ensembl:lncRNA